CCUACGGGGGGCAGCAGUAGGGAAUAUUGCUCAAUGGGGGAAACCCUGAAGCAGCAACGCCGCGUGGAGGAUGAAGGUUUUAGGAGUGGAAACUCCUUUUGGUAGAGAAGAAAAGGACGGUAGCUAACGAAUAAGCACCGGCAAACGCCGUGACAGCAGCCGCGGUAAUACGGAGGGUGCAAGCGUUACUCGGAAUAACUGGGCGGAAAGAGCGCGUAGGCGGGAUAGCAAGUCCGAUGUGAAAUCCUCUGGCUUAACCCUAGAACUGCAUUUGAAACUGUUAUUCUAGAGUAUGGGAGAGGUAGGUGGAAUUCUUGGUGUAGCGGUCACAUCCGU
rnacentral:rRNA from 1 species